UAAGCCCAUACUGUGGAGUCGCGCUUCCUCUGCCCGCCAAAACCAAGAAAAGCGUCGCCCUCCUCCUCCUCCCUUCGCUCCCAGUGAUCUUGAAAUCAUAGCCCCAUUCCGUCUUCCCCAUUUGAUGUUGUUGCUGCGAGCGCCGUUUCUCCUGUCGCUCAAAUUCCCUCCACUGCGUCCCUGCUUCCCAUCUCUCCCCUUCUCAAACCCUUGGUCAAGAAACCUCUUCCUUCGCUGCUGCAGCACCGGCCGUGCCGCAAUGUCGGGCCGCCGCACCGUCGCCGACGUUCUCAUGGGCAACGCCCGCGCCGCGGCCGCGGCCGCAGCCAAAUCCAAGAAGUCCGCCCCAUCCUCCGCCCAGCCCGAACAGCCUUCCCCUUCCCCUUCCAAGAAACCGAAAACCCUAGAUGGCGGUGGCCAAAACCCUAAAGAUCCUCCCGAGGAGAAGAACCCCACCCUCGACCUGAAGAAGAAGUGCUCCGACUUCAACCCCAAGAAAGCCGCUUCGUGGAAGGACGGGGAACCCGUUCCCUUCUUGUUCCUCGCGCGCGCCCUUGAGCUAAUCUCGAACGAGUCCGGAAGGAUCGCCAUCACGGAGAUUAUCUGCAACGUGUUCAGGACCGUGAUCGCUACCACGCCCGGGGAUCUUCUCGCCACCGUUUACCUUUCGGCGAAUAGGAUUGCGGCGCCCCAUGAAGGUAUUGAGCUUGGGAUUGGGGACGCGUCCCUUGUGAAGGCGCUUGCCGAGGCUUAUGGGAGGAAGGAGGAGCAAGUCAAGAAGCAGCUAAAGGAACUGGGUGACUUGGGUCUUGUUGCAAAAGCAAGCCGUUCCUCUCAGAAAGUGAUGUUCAAGCCUCAACCCUUGACGAUUGCCAAGGUUUUUGAUACAUUCCGUGCAAUUGCAAAGGAGUCGGGAAAAGAUAGUCAAGACAAGAAAAGAAAUCACAUAAAAGGACUUCUUGUUGCAGCAACUGAAUGUGAACCUCAGUAUUUAGUUCGUCUUCUUCAGUCGAAGAUGCGAAUUGGUUUGGCAGAGAAAACUGUCCUGGUAGCUCUCGGACAAGCAGCUAUUUAUUCUGAAACGAAUCAAAAUCCACGGUCACAAACUCAGUCUGAUCUUGAAGAGGCUGCGAAAAUUAUCAAACAAGUUUAUUCGGUACUCCCAAUCUAUGAUAAAAUUGUUCCUGAACUUCUCCACGUUGGAGUAUGGAAACUUCCAGAGGCAUGCAAUUUCUCCCUAGGUGUGCCUGUAGGGCCUAUGUUAGCUAAACCAACAAAGGCAGUGUCUGAAAUUCUUGAUAAGUUUCAGGGAAUGGAAUUCACUUGCGAAUACAAAUAUGAUGGUGAACGAGCCCAGAUACAUUAUAUGGAGGAUGGAUCAGUUGAGAUAUAUAGUCGUAAUGCUGAAAGGAACACUGGGAAGUACCCAGAUGUGGUCGGUUCUGUAUCAAGAUUCAAAAAACCUGCUGUAAAAUCAUUUGUGCUUGAUUGUGAAAUUGUUGCUUAUGACCGUGAGAAGCAAAGGAUCUUGCCUUUCCAGAUAUUGAGCACUCGUGCUCGGAAGGGAGUGAUCUUAAGUGACAUAAAAGUAGCUGUUUGCACCUUUGCCUUUGACAUUCUGUAUGUAAAUGGCCAACCUCUACUUCAGGAGCAACUGAAAGUUCGUCGAGAGCACCUUUAUGGUUCCUUUGAAGAAGUACCUGGAGUCUUUCAGUUUGCAACUGCAAUAACAUCAGAUGAUCUCGAGGAAAUACAGAAAUUCCUUGACACUGCUGUCAACACCAGUUGCGAAGGAUUGAUUAUCAAGACAUUGGAUAAGGAUGCUACAUAUGAGCCUUCAAAGCGGUCAAACAAUUGGUUGAAGUUGAAGAAAGAUUAUAUGGAAAGCAUUGGUGAUUCACUUGAUUUGGUUCCUAUUGCUGCAUUCCAUGGUCGGGGAAAGCGGACAGGUGUUUAUGGCUCAUUUCUUCUUGCUUGCUACGAUGAACAUAAUGAAGAAUAUCAAAGCAUCUGUAACAUAGGUACUGGUUUCUCUGAAUCACAGCUUGAAGAACGAUCAACAAGUCUUCGUAAUAAAAUAAUUCCAAAGCCUAAGCCAUAUUAUCGGUUUUCAGAUACAAUGGAUCCAGAUGUAUGGUUUGAGCCAUCAGAGGUUUGGGAGGUUAAAGCAGCAGAUUUGAGCAUCAGUCCUGUUCACCGUGCUGCUAAUGGUAUAGUCGAUCCAAACAAGGGAAUUUCACUUCGAUUUCCUCGCUUACUACAUGUCCGUGAUGACAAAAGCCCUGAAGAAGCUACAACAUCUGAGCAGGUUGCUGAAAUGUAUCGUGCUCAGAAGAUCAACCACACAAACAAUCAAGAUGAGGAUGAUGACGAUUAAGAAAUGUAUAAUUCUUCAAAUUCUGAUGGGACCUUUGAAGGGUUUUGAAGGCCAAUGAAGUAGAAAUUUAUGGUCAAAAUCAAUUUUUAACUUGAGUGGAGCAUAUGUGGUACCCAUCCUUCAAAAGUCAAACUGAAUUACAUAUGAUUUAGCACGUCCAUCCUUUAAUGCUGGUCUCUGGUCAUGUAUUGCAAGUGCCUGCGCCUUUCAGCUUGUAAAAUUGUUUGACAAUUUUGUUAUUGUCAAUUCAGUUCCCUGCAUCCAUGAAAGAAUGAUGAUAGUGUUGUUGUUGAUGUCUAUGUCUGUUGACAGCAACUUUUCUAAUGAACGAUAAAAUGAUAUUGUUUUUUAUUCAUAAAGAAUGAUAAUGUUGUUAUUUGUUUUUCUUGA